UCCCCGCCGCCCUCCGCCCCUUAGCCUUUCCUGGCUCUCUCGGACACCUUAACCUGACAGCAGGUACUAUUAGAAGCCGUCUUUUCGAAGAGAGAGGAAUGCCUACUGUCCCCAUUCCUCGGACAGGUCAUGGUGGCCGUAAAUACGUGCUGGCCAUCCCCACCCCCUCACAUAUAGAGCUAUGUGAUGAACCCUAACCCCCUGAAGAGGUUCCAUAGACCCCUGAGGCUCCACAGAUCAGUUUUAAAACUACUGAAUUAGAACUAAAAUGUGACCCCUCUGCAUUACUAAAUGGGUCAGGAAAUUAGCAAGUGGCUCCUAUUAAGAAUGAUACAACUGAAAGAAGAAAUUGAAGUGAUGCAGCUGCAAGCCAAUGAAUGCCAAGGAACGCCACCACCAGAAGCUAGAAAAGACAAGGAAGGAGUCUUCUCAGAGUCUCAGAGGGAGCACGGCCCUGCUGAUACUUUGAUUCUGGACUCCUAGCCUCCAGAAGUGUGAGACAGUAAAUUUCUGUUGUGUAAGCCAUCAAGUUUGUGGUACUUUGUUAUAGUAGCCCUAGGAAACUAAAACAGGGGGCAAGAAAUAAGAUACAGUCAUGUUGUUUGCAUAUGCAUGAGGAAAACUGGAAAGAAUGGAAUGAAAAUCAAAGUGGCUUCCUAUUGGGGUGAGGGGAAACAAGAUGGAUGAAGACAGAUGGGGUGAGGUGUCUCAGGGUACCCCUUUUUAUAAUUGUUUUCAUUUUUAAAGUAAUAAUUA